GAUGAAGAACGUAGCGAAAUGCGAUAAGUAAUGUGAAUUGCAGAAUUCAGUGAAUCAUCGAAUCUUUGAACGCACAUUGCGCCCCCUGGUAUUCCGGGGGGCAUGCCUGUUCGAGCGUCAUUUCACCACUCAAGCCUCGCUUGGUAUUGGGCAACGCGGUCCGCCGCGUGCCUCAAAUCGUCCGGCUGGAUCUUCUGUCCCCUAAGCGUUGUGGAAACUAUUCGCUAAAGGGUGUUCGGGAGGCUACGCCGUAAAACAACCCCAUUUCUAAGGUUGACCUCGGAUCAGGUAGGGAUACCCGCUGAACUUAAGCAUAUCAAUAAGCGGAGGA
rnacentral:misc_RNA from 1 species